UACGUAGGGUGCGAGCGUUGUCCGGAAUUACUGGGCGUAAAGAGCUCGUAGGUGGUUUGUCGCGUCUGUCGUGAAAGCCCGGGGCUUAACUCCGGGUCUGCGGUGGAUACGGGCAGACUAGAGGCAGGUAGGGGAGAACGGAAUUCCCGGUGUAGCGGUGAAAUGCGCAGAUAUCAGGAGGAACACCGGUGGCGAAGGCGGAUCUCUGGGCCUGUCCUGACGCUGAGGCGCGAAAGCUAGGGGGAGCGAACAGG
rnacentral:rRNA from 1 species